AUCCAGUCGACGAGUCCCAAAUAAGACGAAAUGCGCAUCCUGGAU
rnacentral:hammerhead_ribozyme from 1 species